AGAUGUGAGGGUGAUCUGGCUAUGACAUCGGUCACCCUAUUUUCUCUAAGAUUGACUUGGCUGAUCUGGGUGACUAGGUACUGUCUCCUUCCUUCCUCACCACUCCACAUAUGUCCCUCUUAAAGAUGUGCACUCUGUAGAAAAGGAUGACCUGCUCCAAAUAAAGGAGGACCUGUCUUCAGACAAGGGUGCAGCAGUAGCCGCACUCCCCUCCAAACAUGCUCUCAAAGGAUUUAUCUGAGCAAAUAAAAUGAAGAAACUCUCUCUCAAACUAAGAGUAUGGGAGUGUUG
rfam:Neotoma lepida isolate 417 scaffold_10722, whole genome shotgun sequence.